UGAUGGAGGCCUCUUUCUCCUGUUAUUAUUGACAACACCAACAUGCAGAGCUGGGAGAUGAAACCCUACGUCACUAUGGCUCUGAGGCACAACUACAAGGUUUUGUUCCGGGAGCCUGGUACCUGGUGGAAGAACAAACCCAGGGAACUGGAGAGACGUACUAGGCACAGUGUUAAAGCAGAGAAGAUCCGUUGGAUGAUGGAAAAUUAUGAUCGUCACGUGACCAUUCACUCCAUCAUGGGGAGCUCUCACCCCAAACUACCCCC